UACGAAGGGUGCAAGCGUUGUUCGGAAUAACUGGGCGGAAAGAGCGUGUAGGUGGUUUGAAAAGUGAGAUGUGAAAUCCCUGGCCUAACCUAGGAAUGGCAUUUCAUACUAUCAGACUAAGUGUGCGAGAGGGGAAAAUGGAAUGGCGAGUGGAGCAGUGAAAUGCGUUGAUAUUCGUUGGAACAUCAGAGGCGAAGGCGAUUUUCUGGCUCGUAACAGACACUGAGGCGCGAAAGCGUGGGGAGCAAACAGG
rnacentral:misc_RNA from 1 species